UACGUAGGCAGCAAGCGUUGUUCGGAGUUACUGGGCGUAAAGAGUGCGUAGGUGGUGCCCUAAGUCUGUUGUGAAAUCUCCCGGCUUAACUGGGAGGGUGCGGUGGAAACUGGGGUGCUUGAGUGUGGGAGAGGAUGGUGGAAUUCCCAGUGUAGAGGUGAAAUUCGUAGAUAUUGGGAAGAACACCGGUGGCGAAGGCGGCCAUCUGGACCGCAACUGACGCUGAGGCGCGAAAGCGUGGGGAGCAAACAGG
rnacentral:rRNA from 1 species